rnacentral:rRNA from 1 species
GAUGAACGCUGGCGGCGUGCCCAAUACAUGCAAGUCGAGCGAACAGACGAGGAGCUUGCUCCUCUGACGUUAGCGGCGGACGGGUGAGUAACACGUGGAUAACCUACCUAUAAGACUGGGAUAACUUCGGGAAACCGGAGCUAAUACCGGAUAAUAUAUUGAACCGCAUGGUUCAAUAGUGAAAGACGGUUUUGCUGUCACUUAUAGAUGGAUCCGCGCCGCAUUAGCUAGUUGGUAAGGUAACGGCUUACCAAGGCGACGAUGCGUAGCCGACCUGAGAGGGUGAUCGGCCACACUGGAACUGAGACACGGUCCAGACUCCUACGGGAGGCAGCAGUAGGGAAUCUUCCGCAAAGGGCGAAAGCCUGACGGAGCAACGCCGCGUGAGUGAUGAAGGUCUUCGGAUCGUAAAACUCUGUUAUUAGGGAAGAACAAAUGUGUAAGUAACUAUGCACGUCUUGACGGUACCUAAUCAGAAAGCCACGGCUAACUACGUG